UGCUUUUUCAGAUAGAAUUCUAUUGCACACUUAACAAACUACAGCAUAGUGUAAACAUACUUUUAUAUGUCCUGGGAAACCGAACAAUUUAUGUAACUGGCUUUAUUGUGAUACUCAUUUAUUUGAGUCUGCAAUAUCUCCGAGGUGUGCGUAUAUGCAUAAUGUGUGCCUAGGUAUAAUAUGUACUGAUUAAAUACAUUUGGGUAAAUCCUUUUAAUGAAAUGCUAAGCGGAAUGCACCUGAGAAGGUGUAAAUUAUCAAAAAUACUUUUCUCUCAGUGAUAGCCAGUGAUUUAAAUUUUAGCAACAACUGAGGAUAUAGCUAAAACCCUUUUAACCAACACAAGUUUGGCUGAUUCAGAAUGGAAACUCCACGUAGAGCAGAAGUAUGGCUUCAGGUAUGCUGGGAGACAGGGCCUUUUAUGUCUUUGGUUUGUUUCACAUUCAAGCUGUUCUUUUUCUUUGAAUUUUGAACGCAGAGGUCAGGCACUACACUAUGCCUCACAUGGGCCCAUAUAUCCACUAGCAGACUCAUUUAAUCUUCAGGCUUCUGUAAAUGCAGCUUUGUUCAUAUACUUGUUUUCUUAGUAUGAACAGGGAGAGGAGAAAUCGAUGUUGGCCUUUUUUUUUUUUCCCCAGGAAGGUUUUUUUUUUUCCUUUUCUCUCACUUUAAAAGCAUAGGAAUUUCAUGAAACUCAUUCAGCCUACAGCUGCAAUCUACAACUAGGAAGAAACACUGUCCCUUUAUAUUGCCUAUAAAUAAUCUGGUCUUUCUCAUGAGCAGCCUAACUGGUCCCUAGACACAAAAAUAUUUAGUCCUAUCAGGUUUAAGCCUUAAUAUCAUUUGAUCUUUUAACAGGCCCUUUAGGUGAUGCUGCUCUUUUUCAGAGAGAUCAGGAUCUCAGAUUUCUCAGUCUUCAAAGGCCAUGCUGGCCUCUCCGCAGAAUGGCAUCUGCCUGGGGCCAAAAGUGUCAAUUUAGGCAACCUUGGGGCUGAGCGGAGGGUGGGUCUAGGGUCACAUUAUCCUCUCUCUAACUGGAUGUGGAUUGCCCCGCCCACGUAGGCAAUUGAAAUUUGUUUCUUGUGGCUGUUUCUGUCGAGCUCGGCUUGGGUCUCCUUGGUGCUGGGAUCUCUUGAGUGUCAUCCUUGCAUGCAGGCCCACCCACAGUCCCCCUCCAGCUCUAGUUUCAUGGGCACUGGACCCACCCCCGGGGGCCACAUACUCUGAGGGCGUAUUUAAAUGUCCCGGAACAGAGAACAGUCAAGAAAGUAGAUGUUAAGACCUCCUCUGCUUGAUCAUUCUGCCCAGUCUGGUUUAACCUGACCUUGUUCCAGGUUAGUUCAGAGGAGACGGAUGCUCCCCAUUACCCCGCACUGAGCUGUGGCUCUGUGUUAAAGCCUGGAGACAGGAAACUGGGGGACACGCACCUCACCAUCUCACACUUCAGUUUUUUCCCCUUAGAAAGCAAAUAGAAUCUUCCAUCUGCCCACUGGGUUCUGAAUUUCACAACAGUGUAAUUUGAUGUGGGUCUGUUUUCAUCCAUUUUCACUGGGCCCUUGAUGGGUCUGGUAACUCAAGUCGUUGAAUUCUUGGAAAUUUUCUUGGCUUGUUUCUUUGAUGAAUUCCACUCCUCAUUUUUUUUCUUUUCUCUCUUUCUGUAUUGUCUGCUAUUCAGAUGUUGGACAUAUUGGACUGGUUUUCCAAUUUUCUUGUCUUUUCUCUCACAUAUUUCCUUUUUAUACCUUUACUACAUUUUAUAAUAUUUUUUCAACUUUGUGUUUUCAACUUGUUUUUCAACUCUUUUACGAAGACUUUCAUUUCUGCUCUCGUUUCUAAGUUCUAAAAGCUUCCACUCUCUCCCAUUUUUUCUUUCUUCCUUUCUUUCUCUUGUUAUCUAAAUAUUCUUUUUUUUUUUUUUUUUUUUGCGGUACGCGGGCCUCUGACUGUUGUGGUCUCUCCUGUUGCGGAGCACAGGCUCCGGAAGCGCAGGCUCAGCGGCCAUGGCUCACGAGCCCAGCUGCUCUGCAGCAUGUGGGAUCUUCCCAGACCAGGGCACGAACCCGUGUCCCCUGCAUUGGCAGGCAGACCCCCAACCACUGUGCCACCAGGGAAGCCCUAAAUAUUCUUUUUAAAAUAGUAUCUUUUCUUUUUUAUUGGAUGCAGUGUCUUUACUUACUAUUCUGAGACUUUAGUGAUGGCUUUGUUUAAAGUUCCUCAUGCAAAAUCUCCAUUUCCUCUAUGGUGAAUUUUUAUUUAUUUGUUUCUUUGGAAUUUUUUAAAUUAAUGUUUAGUUGAUUUACAGUGUUUCAGGUGUACAACAAAGUGAUUCAGUCAUAUAUAUGUAUAUGUGUGUGUGUGUAUAUAUAUAUUCUUUUUUCAGUUUCUUUUCCACUAUAGGUUAUUACAGAUAUUGAGUAUAGUUCCCUGUGCUAUACAGUAGGUCCUUGUUGGUUAUCUAUUUUAUAUAUAGUAGUGUGUUUCUGUUAAUCCCAAACUCCUGAUUUAUCCCUCCCCCCUUCCCCUUCAGUAACCAUAAAUUUGUCUUCAGUGUCUUUGAGUCUAUUUCUGUUCUGUAAAUAAGUUCAUUGUAUCAUUUUUUAAAGAUUCCACAUAUAAGUGAUAUCAUAUGGUAUUUGUCUUUCUCUGACUUACUUUCCUUAGUAAUGCUCAUCCCUAGGAGCAUCUGUGUUGCUGCAAAUGACGUUACUUCAUUCUUUCUUAUGGCUGAGUAAUAUUCCAUUGUCUAUACAGACCACAUCUUCUUUAUCCAUUCAUCUGUUGAUGGACAUUUAGGUUGCUCUGUUUGUUUUAUUUGCACCUUCCAGGUAGGAUGCUCCCCUCAGAUUCUGGUGAUGCCUGGCAGUGGCUCAUGAUUGGUGUGGAAGAUUAGCUACACAUGAUUGGUGUGAUCGCAUUGAGUGAAGCUCUCAUCUUCUGAAUUACUGCUGCAGACAUCCAGCCGACCUCCUUAGUGACCUUGUUCACUCUUUAGGGUGUGUAGAUCUUAUUACAGCUCUUACUUGGGAAAGAGGACCAACCAGGGCUCCGGUUGGAUUGGCUAGCAGGCUGAAUGGAGCCUGCACAGUGUUAUUUGAUUUUAUCUUAAAGAAAAAAUAACUUUUCAGCACAGUGAUUUUGAGUCAAUUGAAUGUGAGUGCCUUUGAAGUCACAGUCUCUCCAGCUGUGUCACUCGAUUCUCCAACCGGAAGAGAAACACAAGGAGGGUGAGAAGCUUCCUGUAAGGGGCUCCCUGUCCAGAUGGGAGGUGGACAUGCACACACACCAUUGUCGACGUGCUUUCUGUGGCUGGAGGAGGUGUUUACGACAAGUCAGGGCACAAUUUACUUUGCCUGGGGAGUCAAGAAAGGUUUCACAGAGAUGGAAUCAGAAGAUACAUAAAAUAAGUACCUACACGUAAACUGGAUUGAAAUGGACAUUUCUUGCCCAAAAGCCCUGUCUUUAGCCCUCCUGUCUUAGGGUUUGCUUCACUUGUCCUGUUUAGUGACUGUAAUUUUCAUAAGUGAACUGAUUUUAACAUUCUUGGGGGCAUAAAUUAAAUACAAAAUAUCUAACUUGGACCCAUGUAUUUCAUUUGCAGACCCUGGGUGGGUCUAAACCUACUUUGCAGGCUUUCAUUGUUAAUCUUGAAUUGUUUUAAACAAGUGAAAUAUUUAAGACAUUUGUGUGGGACAACACUGUAGCAAAUUGUGUUUGUUUGAUCCCGUAUUAGGAUUCAGUCAUGCUAGCUCUUUUUCUCUGUUUUGUUUGAUGAAAACAAAUCAAUUUCGUUUAGAGUAAGUACAUGGCAUUUCCACUAGAGGGAGGAGAAGUGCUAAUUUUAAACAUUGAGGGAGGAGCUGUUCUUUUUGCCGAGAUAAUCACUCCCUUCAUUACACACAAACUGUGCUUGGAUAAACAACGGUGGUUCCUUUCUUUUUUUUCCCUUUCAUUUUUAUUUAAAUGUAUGCUCUAAUGGGAGAACAAAGGACAAACAUUUCUAGGUCAAAGUAGCAAGUAUUGAAAAGUGGCUAAUUUCUUGCUUCAAGAAUUCUAAACACAGCCCUGGGGUCAGAAACAUUUUCAAAAGAAGACCUUAGUGAUCAGAGAACUCCAUCUCUUUCUUUAAUAGCUCUGGAAAAUGAGGCCCAGAGACCUGCCCUGCCCAGGUUGGAGAAUUUGCUAGUAGCAGAUGCAAAAAUAGAAAUGUUGCCCAGUUCUUUUUCUUGUGCUCUUUAUAAUGCAAUAGAUUUGGUCAGCAUAUCUGAUGCCAUAAAUAUUAUAGACACAUACCUACAUAUAUGUUUUUGUACAUGUAUAUGUAUGCAUAUAUUUUCCUCCCUCUGAUGUUUAUGAUUUGAGAUCUGGCAUUAAGAAAUAUUCUGGGGCUUUUAUGUGUCCUUGUUUACUUGCUCUUAAAACCUCCCCACCCCAGCUCCCCUCCUUGUAUUACUCUAGAUGCAAAAAGCAUUGCUUAUGUAGGGUAUGGCUAAUGGAUUCAGCAUGGUCCAAGAGCUGGUAAUUACUGACCAAUCACCAAAAUACCCUGGUUUAAAAAACACACUAUAAACUUUCCUGUGAAGUCUCCAAAAGUUUUAUUAACAUGCAUGACAUUAGUGGCUGUACUUAUUUUGCCAUAAUUGAGGGUGUGUCCCGUUUCUCUAGAAUAAUAAGGCAUUUGAGGGAGUUCUCAUAUUUCACUUCUGGCUGAACCCGGUCUGUAAGCUCUUACAAACAAUGCAUUUUGUGCUCAUCUUUGAGGUAGGAAAGAAUAUUUUCUGAGUUUUAACUGAAAAAACAACCAUACGCACACACCCAAAUUUUCUAUUCUGAAGUUUUUUAAAAAAAAAACAAAGCGAGGCCAUUAACCAAUGAGUGCUUUUUGAAGCCAUAAAAGAUUUUUCAACAUUUUCUCUAGUCAGAACUUUCAAGAAGGAGUUUUCCCCUUACCCCUGAAUAGUCUGACUAGCAGUUCUGGUCUAUUUCUACCCGAGGAGAGCUUCAUUAAAAGUGAGUGUUAGGCUUAGUGUUGGGGAAUGUGGAGAUGCAUGUAUAAAAACUGUGAUCAUUCUUUUUUUUCCCUUCCAUUUUUAUUGAGAUAUAAUUGACACACAGCGCUGUAUAUGUUUAAAGUAUACAGCAUAAUGAUUUGACUUGAUACAUCAUGAAAUGAUUAUCACAAGAAGUUUAGUGAAUAUCCAUUAUCUCUCUCUUUUUUAAAAAUUAAUUUAUUUAUUAUUUAUGUUUUGGCUGCGUUGGGUUUUCAUUGCUGUGCGUGGGCUUUUCUCUAGUUGUGGCGAGCGGGGGCUACUCUUCUUUGUGGUGCACGGGCUUCUCAUUGCGGUGGCUUCUCUUGUUGUGGAGCACAGGCUCUUGUUGCGAAGCACAGGCUCUUGUUGCAGAGCAUGGGCUCUAGGUGCGCAGGCUUCAGUAGUUGUGGCACGCGGGCUGUAGAGUGCAGGCUCAGUAGUUGUGAUGCACGGGCUUAGUUGCUCUGCAGCAAGUGGGAUCUUCCCGGACCAGGGCUCGAACCCGUGUCCCCUGCAUCGGCAGGUGGAUUCUUAACCACUGCGCCACGAGGGAAGUCCCAUCCAUCAUCUCUUAUAGAUAUAAAAUUAAAUAAAUAGAAAAAUGUUUUUCCUUGUGAUGAGAGCUCCUAGGAUUUGCUCUCUGGACAACUUUCAUUUAUAACGUACGGAAGUGUUAAUUAUAUUUAUUGUGUUGUACGUCACAUCCCUAGUACUUAUGUAUCUUACAGCUGGGAGUUUGUACCUUUUUACCACUUUUAUCCUAUUCCCCUCCCCCCUCCUCUGCCUCUGGUAACCACAAAUCUGAUGGUGGCCACUCUUUUAAUGAAAAGAUGUAUCAUCUUCCACUUUUUUGUGCAUAAAUAUAAGUGAAGUAAUGAGUGAAAGCACUUCUGGCUGUAAGCGGACGUAGGUGUCAUUCCCAACUGGGUGGAUCUGUGACCGUGCGUAAGUUACUCUCUCUGUUUGCAAACCAAAACCAUCAGGCUGGAAGAGGACCAAGGGCCCUCCACUUCCAUUGGCCAUAGUUUCAUAAUUGCAUAAUGAAUGGAAUUCACCUAUGACCCUAAAUCCCUUAUAAUUUUUAACAAGAUUGUAACACAGGGUUUGUUGUUUUUAUACCAUUUUGUUACUGUUUUAAUAACUUGGGAAAGCCUGGUGUUGGUAUGUAAUGUGUUACACUGUGUGUUGGUUCCCACAAAACGUCUAGGUAAAUUAGUCUUCUGUAAAAAAUUACCUUUAAAUUCCUUAGGGGAGUCUAGUGUGACUUACAGUGUGACUAAGGAGGAUGCAGUUGUCACUCCCGCUCAGUGGAACCUCUGUUUUCCUCCUAAGAACUGCAGCGGUAACCUCGACCCUGGUGUUUCUGCUGACACUCUGCUGUCCCCUAUAGCCUGCUCUUUGUGCAGCACCCAGUGUGAUCCUUAAAAGUCACCUUGUUCAUCACACUCACGGGUCUUCCUUUAAGUCUCUUUUUGGUAUUUCUCCUAAAAGGCCUUCCACAUUACUUGAUCUGAAAUACCUUUCAUCAUCCUCUUCCACUUAGCACUAACUCAUGACUACCUGUGUCUCUCCAUGUCUGUGUCCGUGCCUGUGUGUUUGUCUACAACUAUCACAUUUAUAUCCAUACCCAUAACUAUGUAUCUGUACUCAUAACCAUAUCUCUAUGUCCACACCCAUACUUAUAGCUAUAUCUCUGUGUAUAGUAUGUGCGUGUUUACCUGUACUUUUGCACUAGAAUGUGCCCUCUAUGAAGGCAGAGGCUUUCUUUUUCUCAUUGCUUUAAUCCCAGUGCCUAGGACAGUGCCUGGCAUAUAAUAGAUGCAAAAUAAGUAUUUGUCAAACCGAGGAACAAAUAUCCCGCUUGUCAGGAUUUGGGUUUUGGCUUUUAUUAGCUCUGUGGACAAGUUACUUAACUUCAGUGUGACUUUAUUUUCUCAUUUCUCCAUCAAGGACGUCAUCAUUUCCCUCAGAGAUCUGAUGUGAGAAUGAAAUGAGAUGAUACAAGGAAGAUGAGCUGCUGGUCCUGGCCCAGAAAAGGCACCACGUUAAGACAAAAGUACAUCUUAUUCCUGAACCGUAGCUGCAGACUUGAAUUUCCUUUGUACUGCCGGCCUCUUUCACCCGCAGCUCUGACACAGCUGAACCUCAGCCUCACCUCCUGUCAGGUCGACUCAGGUCCAUGUGGUCAACGGCCCCUCCGUCCUUGAGGUCUGGGAUGCUUUGCCCGUGCGGUCCUGGAUGUCUGUGAUCAUGGUCCCUGACGUUCCUCCUCUGAAGUGACCCUGUGUUUCUCUCUCACUCUCUGUCCCCUUGUCCUCUUUCCCGUGUUUUCCAUGGAAAAACGAAGCCACUGUAGCCUCUUCCCAGUUACAGGAAUAAUCUCUCUGUAAACAGCUUCACUAGUUAAGAGCUCUCAUCAAAGCCCUUUUCUUUUCUUCUUCCUCAAUAGCUUCUGUCUUUGUUUUUUUUUCUUAAACACAUUAUAUUUUCAGAGAAGUUUUUGGUUCACAGCGAUCUUGAGAGGUGGGCACAGAGGCUGCUCACAUAAUCCUCCUGCCUCCACGCAGGCACAGCCUCCACCAUCAUCAGCAUCCCCCGCCAGAGUGGUCCAUUUGUGACAACCAAGGGGCCUCUGUCGACCAUCAUGAUCACAUCAAGUCCACAGUUUACAACAGGCUCCAUUCUUGGAGUUAUACAUUCCAUGGCUUUGGACAAAUGUAUGAUGACACAUAUACACCAUCACAGUAUUAAUCGGAAUAGUUUCGCUGCCAUAAAAAUCCUCUGUGUUCUACCUCUUCAUCUCCCCACCCGCCUUCUACCCCGACUUGCGACAACGCCUGAUCUUUCUUUCUGUCUCCACAGUUUUGCCUUUUCUAGAAUGUCAUAUAGUUGGAAUCAUACAGUAGGUAGUCUUUUCAUAUGGGCUUCUUUCACUGGUAAUAUGCGUUUAAGUUUCCUUCAUGUAUUUUCAUGGCUUGAUAGAUUAUAUCUCUUUAGUGUUGAAGAAUAUUUCAUUGUGUGAAUGCACCACAGUUUAUUUCUCCACUCACUUACUGCAGGACAUCUUGGUUGCUUCCAAGUUUUUGCAAUUAUGAGUAAAGCUGCUAUAAACAUCUGUGUGCUUCUGCCUUUCUUGUUUUGCUUUGAAAGUUUUUCUCAUUUCCAAGAUAAAUUUAAAAAAAUUUAAUAUCCUAAUUUUCUUCUAUUUGCUUCUAUUUUAUAAUCCAUUUGAAAUUAUUUUAGUGUUAGGAUAUAUAUUAAUGUUUCUCUUCAGCUGUCUUUUGAGUUAUUUUGACGGCAAGAGUUACAUUUUGCACUUCUUUGAAAUUUACCUAAGAUGUACCAGAAUGCUUGGCAUGUACAUAGCACUAAAUACUUAUUAGCUGUAAUGAUACGUAUUUGCUUUAAUAAGUAUUAAGCAGUACCACUAACAUGUAAAGGCUGCUAAUAUAGUAGUAAUAGCUACCAUUUAUCGAGCAGUUGUUAUGUGCUAGGUAGAUUCUAUAAACUUUACCCAUUUUAAAUCCAACAACCUGGCAAAGUAUGUAUUAUUGUCUCUAUUUUAUACAUAAGAGAACUGGUGAUCUUGAGAUCACACAUCUUAAAAGUAGCAAAGCUGGGGCUUGAACACAAGUUGAUGUAUCUUCAAAACACCAAGAUUUUCCAACACCUAUUGCUGUCAAUAAUAGUGGAGAGAGGAGGUGAGUGAUGUAUGGACAUACAGAGUAACCUCUUUCUGGUCCACUAACCGGAAUUUAUAGUCCUAAGGAUUCAGUCUUAACAUCAAAUAUUUUAUUGAAUUGGAUUUAAACCUCUUUACCAUCUACUGAGCCCAAUGAGGUAAUACUUAGUAAAUGCUACCUGUUGGCUUUUGGCCCAGUGCAGGGGAUACGAGCACUUCGCAGUGAUAAUUUUCUCCUAAUUGGUUGUAACUAAUGCACUGCCGUUCUGGAAUUUGUCACUUACCUAAAUGUACCUUAGCAAAUGGACCAUGGUCUCCACAUAAAUGUACAUUUACACACACUAGAAACAGCUUGGCGAGAGGCAAGUGGGAUGAAGAAGGAUGUGCCUGAGUGGGCAGUAGGUGACCUGGUGGACCGCCACCUUCUACGAAAUCUCUUUUGGAUGAGGGAGGAUGGCGGGAAGAACAGGAAUUGGGACUCGAGAGGCCAAUGGAGAGGCAAGGCUGAGCCAAAGUCGCUGUGUCUCCUGGGCUAGUCUUCCUUCUUCAGAGGCUUAUCUUCUCAUAAGUAAAAUGGAGAAGCUUGGUUAGAUCUGCCACUUCAAGCUGUGCUCUGUGGAGGUUACUUGGGGUCAUCGUAAGUAAGAAAUGAGAGCCAGAGGGAUCUGAGUGCUCUGCUCCCACUCAGGCCCAUAGCUCUCUGCUUUGCCCAUCUUACGGUUUCUGUGGCGAACAACAUGCAAACCACUGAAAGUGAGCCUGCCCCAGAAUGGCUCCAGGGAGGACAUUCUGAGAGCUUACCGCUUCUCUCCCAUCUCCAAGAGCCCCCAGUGCAUGUGCUCUGAUGAAGGUUGGCAUGACGAGCACAGAGGACGCUGCCUGUGUGGCUUCCCAGGAACUCCCACCGGCCAGCGCACAACAGAAGGUAGGGAGGAUGGCAAAAAAGAGAAGCCGGUGGAAGUAACCUGGGUUAGUCUCGGCCCCCAUGGGAGGAGGUAGACAAAUGCUCACCAAUAGCCAUCCAGUCCCCUGUGAAAGGAGCUAAUGUGGUAGAGGGUGGUCAGGGCAUCUGUGUCCCCAUGAGGAGCUCCCAGGGCUGGCAGGGGCUGAGGACAUAUGGAGUGCCCACCCACCUGCCCAGCUGACCCGCUUCAGGCAGUGCCAACUGCAGCCAGGGGCAGCUGUCCUGGGCCAGGGGGACAUCUGAUUCCUGGAAGGGCAUACCAGGAGCUUCAAAGGGAAGGCAUACGAGACAGAUCCAGGAAUUGAGGUGACAUGAAACUUUCAGAGGGAGAGGCACCUUUAGCUUUCUUUUUGUUAAAAUAUCAAUGAAUUCAUCUCUCUGCGUAUCUAAGUCUCCCCCUUCUUUCUCUGUCUCUGUCUCUCUUUCUCUCUGUCUCUCAUCUAUAUUCUGUUGAGCUGUGAUUUUCAGUACUCCAGGGACCUUAAAGUUUCCACACCAGCUGUAGUAAAAUUGCAUAAGAUGUCUUGAUGGUAGUGUGAAUUCUCAGUGCCUUGGGGCCAGGCUGAAACCCACAAGCUUGAAAGAUCUGGACUUUGUAGGAGAAGCAGAAUUGGAGAGAGAGAGAGAGAGAGAGAGAGAGAGAGAACAAAUGAAUUCAGGAAGAUCCACAAGGAACCUCAUUUCUGUCUUUCUGGAGCUGGUGGGAAAUUAGCAAAUGACUUAACCUGUCUGAGUGUCAUGUUCCACAUCUGUUAAAAGAGGAUUUAGAUUAACUUUAGAUUGCUAAAGCUAAUAGUAACAUCUACCUUCCAAAUUUAUUUUGAGAAUUAUUAGGAAAGAGUUUGAGUAGUCUAAUAUUUCCAAAAUGAGCUCCGUAGAUGGCAGCUGUAAUUGUACACAGGUUAACACCAGCUCUGAUGGCUGUCUUUGUCUGUGUGGCCCUGUGAUCAUGAUUGUAUUGUGUUCUAUUCCUUCUAGGCAGACGGAACCCACCAUGCACAUGUGGUAUUGUGUCAGCAUGUCGCUUUCUUGGGCUUGUUGAAAAGGUCAAAGAAUACAAAUUUGGAGAAAAAGUUAAAAGAUUUAGUUAAGUCUGAAAAAGCAGUUGUCUACCUUCCAAUUCUUAUCUUUCCUCAUUGCCUUUUCCACCAAAAUUCCAGCCUUUCCAGGAAACCUUUCCAAAUCAAUCAGAAGUCAGAAGUGUGCGCUGGCAUCUCCAAAAUGUGAGCUCCAGAACCAUCAUUCAUUUCUUGCCUAGUUUUGGGCACCACUUCUGGUCUGGACCGGCCACUUUCCUGUUCUGGAAAUCCAGCCUAUUGGACUUCAUGGUUCUGAAGUCCAUUCAACCCGGUUGGAAGCCCUUUGGCUCUAAGCAUCAGAGGAAAUGAAGAAGGGACGUGAAGCUGUUACCAGGAUGGACUGCAUGAAAUCUCAUUAACUGAGAACACAAGGGACCAGACAAAACAGAUUUUGAAUUAAUUAGUUUGCAGUAUGUGAAAGCAUUGCUGAGAAAUAUAGGACAUUUUAUUGGCUAAGAAAUUCCCAUUCAUUAUAUUACUCGAUGCAAUGUUAAGUCAAAUGAUAAAUGGGAAUGAUGUUUCUUUAUUUUUGGGCAAAUGAUAGGUGGUUUGGGAAAUACCGUAUUCGGUUCUCAGCUAUCUGGAUGAAAUUUAUCAGAUUCUUGCUUAUUGUCAUAAUUUUAGGUUGUAUCCUGACAGCUCUCAAGUUCUGUUCUUUAAUAAAUUUUUUCCUUUCCAUGUGAAUCCCGAGUGAUCUAAUGGAUAACCAGA